rnacentral:lncRNA from 12 species
UUAUUUCCACUCUUUAGAGGAAGAAAUUGAUUUAAAGAUUUGAUGUUUACAAAGCUAGUUGGUGUUGGUACUGGCACUUGAAAUCAGACCAUCAGACCAUCUGACUACGUAUGGCUCAGUGCUCUAUUUAAUGAGUGCUUAUUAGGAACAAAGCCCCAUAAUGGGCACCAAGAGAGAUAUAUAUGCAUCUUUCAGAAGUGCAGGUCAUCAGCAAUUCAUAGAGAAGUUCUAACCACAAUCAAGCUGUAAGGACACUUGUGAGAAGCUUUUCCAUCCGAGAAACACAAACAGUUCCAUCGAUCUUACUAACACCCUAGAGGUAAGUGUGAGAACAAUAAAAAUGGUCUUGG